rnacentral:rRNA from 1 species
AUACGGAGGAUCCAAGCGUUAUCCGGAAUCAUUGGGUUUAAAGGGUCCGUAGGUGGACAGAUAAGUCAGAGGUGAAAUCCUGCAGCUCAACUGUAGAAUUGCCUUUGAAACUGUUUGUCUUGAGUCAUUGUGAAGUGGUUAGAAUGUGUAGUGUAGCGGUGAAAUGCAUAGAUAUUACACAGAAUACCGAUUGCGAAGGCAGAUCACUAAUAAUGUACUGACACUGAUGGACGAAAGCGUGGGUAGCGAACAGGAUUAGAAACCCUAGUAGUCC